GAAAGCAUCUCUCUGUCUGCUCUCCUCGCGAGUACAAAAAGAAUUUAACUCUCUUGUCUUUCCUGUGUUUUGUUUAAUAGGUAUUUAGACCCAACAUUAUUUGGUCCUUCGAUUGCCGGUCGCCAAUACACCUGAGGGAUUCCUGCAGGUUUGGUCGACUUCGGUACAGACCGUGCGCACGGCAAGUUUCCUAGUGGAAGCUUAUCAGAUCCUGUUCAAGGGCUGAGGUUCGACCUGCCUGCUGGGUUCUGACGGUUGACGGUGCGCCAGGGAAAGACAACGGGGGUGAGUGAAUUCUUGUUUAAAAGUGUGGCGAAUGACUGGGGGUCAUUGCGCGAAUACAAAACCCUGUAAAUUCUAGACUCUAACAGGUAAAAAUAGUGCACAAAAUCCGUUGAGGACGUCCGAAGUCCUUCUGUAAAAAUUUCGUGGUUAGGUGGACGGAGCCUAGUGCCUUCCUGUUCUGGGAGACGGGGCCCGACGAAUACCCGUUGCAAAAAAGGACGACGGAGUCCUGCGCGAACAGGCGCUUAAAUUCCGCGACGGAAAAGAAAAAAUUAAAUAAAAAGUGUGUGAUUGUGCGAGUGCUUGGAGGUGUAAAUACCACUUGGUAUUUUACCUCAUAUAAAACAGUAGGAUUGUAACCAGCAAACCUCUUGAGGAUGCAGAGGUAAGAACCCCCACUCGAAAGAGUUGAAGCAUGGGUUACCUCAACAGGUUGUUUCAAUUGCUGGCCUACUGAACAGAACCCCAGUUUUUAGGACUCCCUAGGCGUCGACAAACUGGGCUAAAUUUUAUAAAUAAGAAAAAAUAUAAAAAAUGCGCAAAGAAGGGUAUGAGGAUGUGAAAUUUUGGUUAGAAUUAGCACAAAAAAGAGAAGAGGGGGAAAAGAAAUCAAAAAAUUUGAUGUUCUAUAGGAAGGAAGAUGAUGAGACGGGUUUAUGAGUGUGAAAAGGCAGGCAGCGGAGCAGCAAGCAGCAGGAGGGGGAGGGGAAGUAGCUGAAGUUAACAGAUACCAAAAUAACAAAACAGAAGGGGAGAAACAAAUAGUACAAACUACAAAACUAUAUCCCGACUUACCCUCACCCCCACAA